AAACAACCCUCUAUAUUUUAUUCUCUGGCAGUUUUCGACCCUCAAAGCAAAAAAAAAAUAAAAAAUAAUAUUAACACUUGGCAUCUCACUUAGGGUGCCACGUGAGCGUUGACCGAGUCAACAAUGGACUGAGGGUCCAAAACUACUAAAGAAUCAAAACAUAAGAAGCUGUUU
rfam:Medicago truncatula strain A17 chromosome 4, whole genome shotgun sequence.